GCGUCUUUUCUGGAGAGCGCGGGAAUGAGAGCGCCGGAGGGUGGUGACGUCACCGGGGUUCCCUGCGUGGCUCGCAGGGGCGGGGCCAGAAACUGCCGCGAUGAAUGUCAGUCCCCAGAGCCGGAACCGUUCCCGGUUUUCUCUACUUGGAUCUGAGAACUCUGUCCCUCCAGCCCUGCGAGCGCUUUGCCAGGGUGACGGGCGGAAAUGUCCCCGCAUCCGUGCCUGCUUUCCCAGAUGGGACCCUCCAGCAGUCCCCUCCACUGCCCGUGCUUCCUCCUAACCACUUCCCCCCAGCGACCGCGGAAGGCGCUUCCUCCCCCGCAGCGCGAGCCCCAAGCUCCUCCAGAGCCCCAGCUCUCCCCGCCCCCUUCCCGACCUUGUUUCAUAUGACCCCUCCCCCGCACAUACUCAAUUUCGUCUUCCCAAGGCGCCCACUCUCCACAUCCUGAUGAAAAAAAGAGCCGGCUGCUGUCCUAUGUUAUUGUCAUACUUCUUUCCUCCCGUGCACUACACAACUUGAACAACUUUUUUUUUUCUUUUUUUGAGAAAAGGUCUCGAACUGUCGCCCAGGCUGGAGUACAGUGGCACGAUGAUGGCUCACUGCAGCCUCGCCCUCUCUGGGCACAGGUGAUCCUCCUGCCUCAGCUUCCCAAGAAGCUGGUACUACAGGCGCGUGCCACCACUAUUGGCUAAUUUUAAUUUUUUUUUAACCACAGGGUCUCGCUAUGUUGCCCAGGCUGGUCUCGAACCCCUAGGCUCAAGGGAUCCUCUCACCUCAGCCUCCCAAAGCGUGAGAUUACAGGCGUGAGCCACCGCGCCCCGCGGUAAAUACUAUUCCAAGGAAAUGGCACCUGAGUUUGAGGAGAUUAAUCGGGUUUACUGCAGGGAAGGAGCAUUGGCCCUGGUGGCCAGAGGCAAGGGUACGAACCUGACCCUGCCCUUUCCCUGCCUGGUUCUGCCUUCAGCAAAUUGUUCCACACAUCUCUGGUUUCCUCCCCACAUGAUCCCAAGGCCCUGCUGGCUCUAGCCUUUGUGAGGCUAGAAUUACAAUUCCAUUCCUCCCCAGCCACGCCCCAUCUCUUGCUCCCUGUGCUAGCGCUUUCCCCAAUCAGCCACACUUUCCUUUCCCAUUCACUGAGCCUGUGGAAAGCCCUCUUAUUCUGAAUAUCUAGAUCCUAUUCACCUUUGAAGACCCGACUUGGCCACGUUUCUUCCCAAAGCCUACUGCAUGCCCUUUGUGGGAGGAACUGCUCUGUCCUUGCAACGCCACUGUGUGUAGUACUUUCUCUGUAUCUUACCAGUGGCAUCGCCCACUCUGCCUGGGGUGCUGUUCCAUACUUGCCCUUCUUCCAGUGCCAUCUAUGUGUGUGGUAAGACCUCAGCAUAGCACUUUGCCCACGGUAAAGGAUAUGGUUUCGGGAGUCCCAAGACCCGGGUCCACGUCCCAGCUCUGACACUAAAUGUGUUAUCUUGAACAUGUCACAUGGCCUUUCUGAGCUUAAUUUCCCCAAAUGUAAAAUGGAAAUAGUAACUUAUUUCAUAGUGUUGCUGUGUUGAUUAGAUGAGACAUUAUAUAAGAAAAUGCUUUGUGAACUGUAAAGCUAUUUACACACAUAAAUAAUAGUAAAGAUAGAUAUUAUUCAGAUGCUGGCAAGAGGGAUAUUCUUUGCAAAACAGAAUUAAAAAAAAAAAAGAAAA
rnacentral:lncRNA from 1 species